rnacentral:lncRNA from 1 species
GGAAGGGCUCCCUUUUCCCCUCCGCUCCUGCUCCAGCAGCACGAUGUGAUCCACCAGCAAGGAGGGACACCACUAAGGCAUCUGGCUGUUACGUGGAAGCCUAAGGUGAAGUACUUUGCUACACGGUUUGGUGAUGCCCGUGUUUUGCCACAGCAGCUGAGAAGCCAGCUAGAACAACCAGGAAAGAGAAGACAUGGGUGCAUGUUAGCAGCUCACAAAGGCUGAGAGAAUUCACUUCCCAACUCUGCAUUCAAAGACUUGCUGGCAGUCUGGAAUUGGUCACGGAUCGAAGUUGCAAAAACAAACAAACAAACAAAACCCAUUGGAAACUGCUGUCAAUCUAUGUGGAGGUCCUAGGGCGACUCAGCAGUUUGUUUUCUGGUUGUCCAGUAGAUGGCAGUCUACGCACUGGUUUUUCAUUGACCGUCUUCCAUGCAGGAUUCAGCCUUAACCAUGAAAUGAAACACGCUCUUGUUAUUUUGUGUCAUUAUUUUUGAAAAACAUUUUAAUAAAAUAAAGUAAAUAAAAUAUUUACUUCAAAUAUCCACAAA